CAACACUUUCCUGCACCCGUUAACCGAGACCUAUGGGUGGAUAAAUUACGUCUCUCAUAUCCAUCAGUGAAGGGAUUGAUGGAAAUAAAGUAUCGC
rnacentral:ncRNA from 1 species